rnacentral:lncRNA from 1 species
AAAAAAAAUUAGAAAAAUACUAAACUAAGGAAGAAGUGUCACGUCAUCUUACACAUUGGGGAUUAAUAAUGACUCAUAUCAGGUUCACAUAUGACCCAACCAUACUAAGCCCAUUUGACCCUAACACAUACACACAUAUAUAGGUAUGACUUACAUCAAAGUGACUAACACAAAUCAUGCAAACCUACGUGCAUGGGCCAUUACUUUAACAGUUAAAAACACCAGACACCAUUUCUCGAUU